UAAAGCCCCCCGCUUACACCGUGGAGUUAUCUGUUUAACCCAGAUCAUUUUGA
rnacentral:tRNA from 1 species